rnacentral:rRNA from 1 species
UACGGGGGGGGCAAGCGUUGUUCGGAAUUACUGGGCGUAAAGGGCGCGUAGGCGGCUCAAUCAGUCGGGCGUGAAAGCUCUGGGCUUAACCCAGAAAGGUCGUUCGAUACUGUUGGGCUAGAGUGUGGAAGAGGCUACUGGAAUUCCGUGUGUAGCGGUGAAAUGCGUAGAUAUACGGAGGAACACCUGCGGCGAAGGCGGCUCACUGGCCCGGUACUGACGCUGAGGUGCGAAAGCGUGGGGAGCAAACAGG